CGUGGGUGACCUGCCUUCGAGCGGGGGAUAACGUUCCGAAAGGGACGCUAAUACCGCAUGACAUCCUGCCUUUGAACAGGCGGUGAUCAAAGCCGGGGAUCGCAAGACCUGGCACUCGAAGAGGGGCCCGCGUCCGAUUAGCUAGUUGGUGAGGUAAUGGCUCACCAAGGCAACGAUCGGUAGCCGGCCUGAGAGGGCGGACGGCCACACUGGGACUGAGACACGGCCCAGACUCCUACGGGAGGCAGCAGUGGGGAAUUGUUCGCAAUGGGCGCAAGCCUGACGACGCAACGCCGCGUGGAGGAUGAAGAUCUUCGGGUCGUAAACUCCUUUCGAUCGAGACGAACGACCUCCGGAUGAACACCCCGGGGGAGUGACGGUACCGAGAGAAGAAGCCCCGGCUAACUCCGUGCCAGCAGCCGCGGUAAUACGGGGGGGGCAAGCGUUGUUCGGAAUUACUGGGCGUAAAGGGCUCGUAGGCGGCCAACUAAGUCAGACGUGAAAUCCCUCGGCUUAACCGGGGAACUGCGUCUGAUACUGGAUGGCUCGAGUUUGGGAGAGGGAUGCGGAAUUCCAGGUGUAGCGGUGAAAUGCGUAGAUAUCUGGAGGAACACCGGUGGC
rnacentral:rRNA from 1 species